AGCUUGCUUCUCUGAUGUUAGCGGCGGACGGGUGAGUAACACGUGGAUAACCUACCUAUAAGACUGGGAUAACUUCGGGAAACCGGAGCUAAUACCGGAUAAUAUUUUGAACCGCAUGGUUCAAAAGUGAAAGACGGUCUUGCUGUCACUUAUAGAUGGAUCCGCGCUGCAUUAGCUAGUUGGUAAGGUAACGGCUUACCAAGGCAACGAUGCAUAGCCGACCUGAGAGGGUGAUCGGCCACACUGGAACUGAGACACGGUCCAGACUCCUACGGGAGGCAGCAGUAGGGAAUCUUCCGCAAUGGGCGAAAGCCUGACGGAGCAACGCCGCGUGAGUGAUGAAGGUCUUCGGAUCGUAAAACUCUGUUAUUAGGGAAGAACAUAUGUGUAAGUAACUGUGCACAUCUUGACGGUACCUAAUCAGAAAGCCACGGCUAACUACGUGCCAGCAGCCGCGGUAAUACGUAGGUGGCAAGCGUUAUCCGGAAUUAUUGGGCGUAAAGCGCGCGUAGGCGGUUUUUUAAGUCUGAUGUGAAAGCCCACGGCUCAACCGUGGAGGGUCAUUGGAAACUGGAAAACUUGAGUGCAGAAGAGGAAAGUGGAAUUCCAUGUGUAGCGGUGAAAUGCGCAGAGAUAUGGAGGAACACCAGUGGCGAAGGCGACUUUCUGGUCUGUAACUGACGCUGAUGUGCGAAAGCGUGGGGAUCAAACAGGAUUAGAUACCCUGGUAGUCCACGCCGUACACGAUGAGUGCUAAGUGUUAGGGGGGUUUCCGCCCCUUAGUGCUGCAGCUAACGCAUUAAGCACUCCGCCUGGGGAGUACGACCGCAAGGUUGAAACUCAAAGGAAUUGACGGGGACCCGCACAAGCGGUGGAGCAUGUGGUUUAAUUCGAAGCAACGCGAAGAACCUUACCAAAUCUUGACAUCCUUUGACAACUCUAGAGAUAGAGCCUUCCCCUUCGGGGGACAAAGUGACAGGUGGUGCAUGGUUGUCGUCAGCUCGUGUCGUGAGAUGUUGGGUUAAGUCCCGCAACGAGCGCAACCCUUAAGCUUAGUUGCCAUCAUUAAGUUGGGCACUCUAAGUUGACUGCCGGUGACAAACCGGAGGAAGGUGGGGAUGACGUCAAAUCAUCAUGCCCCUUAUGAUUUGGGCUACACACGUGCUACAAUGGACAAUACAAAGGGCAGCGAAACCGCGAGGUCAAGCAAAUCCCAUAAAGUUGUUCUCAGUUCGGAUUGUAGUCUGCAACUCG
rnacentral:rRNA from 1 species